rnacentral:rRNA from 1 species
CCUACGGGUGGCAGCAGUGAGGAAUAUUGGUCAAUGGUCGUAAGACUGAACCAGCCAAGCCGCGUGAGGGAAGACUGUCCUAUGUGUCGUCAACCUCUUUUAUGCGGGGAUAAAGGCUUCCACGCGUGGCCGUUUGCAGGUACCGCAUGAAAAAGCAUCGGCUAAUUCCGUGCCAGCAGCCGCGGUAAUACGUAGGGUCCGGGCGUUAUCCGGAUUUAUUGGGUUUAAAGGGAGCGUAGAUGGUUAGGUAAGUCAGUUGUGAAAGUUUGCGGCUCAACCGUAAAAUUGCAAUUGAUACUGGCAGGCUUGAGUACAGUUGAGGUAGGCGGAAUUCGUGGUGUAGCGGUGAAAUGCGUAGAUAUCAGGAAGAACACCGAUGGCGAAGGCAGCUUACUAAACUGUGACUGACAUUGAGGCUCGAAGGUGUGGGGAGCAAACAGGAUUAGAUACCCCUGUAGUC